CGAACACUCAAGAUGGAAUCCGAAAUGUAUAUAUGUUCUAUUAUCAAAAGGAAAUCAGUUUAUUGAAAAUGUGAUAAAAAAAUACGAAAUGCGGAUAUCGUAUUAAAAUAUAACCUCCGACUCUGUAAACAUAAUAUGAAUAUCAUAAAAAAAAUAGUAUACUUUCUAUUAACACAAUUGAUUAUAAGAUUUUUAAAGAGAUGGAAAAUUGAGUACUAUAUAAUAAGGAAACAUUUUUUUAAAAACAUUCAGUUUUAUUGUGAACACAAGUAUACGCAGAACACCAACAUUUUUUUUUCAAACAUCUACAGAAAUUUAAAUAAAAAAUGGAUUUAGAAAUGGAUUAUGCACAUCCAUUAUUUGAUCAUAUCAAAAACGAAAUCAAAAGACUAAAAAAUGAAAUGGAUAACAACGAAAAACAAGAAAUACUAGAUCAGAGAGAAAGAAAAACUGCGCUAACUUUAAUUAAAAGAGACAUUAAAAUGUUAAAACAUGAAAAAUUUUUAGCAAAAACAUACUCAUUUGACACAGAAAAAGAAAAAAAUUUAAAAGAAAGAAUAAAAAAAUUAAAGGAAACACAACAGCUUGUGAAAAAUUAUUAUGCCCUUUAUUCGUAUACAAGUUUUGAAAGAGAUAAUUCAACUCAUAACCUAUGCAAUAAAUUUUAUGUAUUAUUACGCGACAUGAAAGCACUAACAGAACCUAUUGAUUUUAUUAAUUAAAUUUAUAUUACUUGAAACAUUAGAUAUUAUUUAUUUUACUCAAUGAUUUUUUUUAUUUAAUAAAAAUAAAAUAUUUAUAUAUAUUUAAAGAGAAAAAAAAAUGUUUUU